GCUGGCGGCAGGCUUAACACAUGCAAGUCGAGCGGUAGCAGAUCUAGCUUGCUAGAUGCUGACGAGCGGCGGACGGGUGAGUAACGCGUAGGAACCUGCCCAGUAGUGGGGGAUAGCCCGGGGAAACUCGGAUUAAUACCGCAUACGCUCUACGGAGGAAAGAGGGGCUUCGGCUCUCGCUAUUGGAUGGGCCUGCGUGAGAUUAGCUAGUUGGUGAGGUAAUGGCUCACCAAGGCGACGAUCUCUAGCUGGUCUGAGAGGAUGACCAGCCACACUGGGACUGAGACACGGCCCAGACUCCUACGGGAGGCAGCAGUGGGGAAUAUUGCACAAUGGGCGCAAGCCUGAUGCAGCCAUGCCGCGUGUGUGAAGAAGGCUUUCGGGUUGUAAAGCACUUUCAGUGGGGAGGAAGGCCUCGUAGUUAAUAGCUGCGAGGAUUGACGUUACCCACAGAAGAAGCACCGGCUAACUCCGUG
rnacentral:rRNA from 1 species